rnacentral:rRNA from 1 species
CCUACGGGUGGCAGCAGUCGGGAAUAUUGCGCAAUGGAGGAAACUCUGACGCAGUGACGCCGCGUAUAGGAAGAAGGUUUUCGGAUUGUUAACUAUUGUCGAUAGGGAAGUUAAAAGACUGUACCUAAGGAGGAAGUCCUGGCUGCCUAUGUGCCAGCAGCCGCGUUACUACAUAGGGGGCAAGCGUUAUCCGGAAUUAUUGGGUGUAAAGGGUGCGUAGACGGAAGAACAAGUUGGUUGUGAAAUCCCUCGGCUCAACUGAGGAACUGCAACCAAAACUAUUCUCCUUGAGUGUCGGAAAGGAAAGUGGAAUUCCUAGUGUAGCGGUGAAAUGCGUAGAUAUUAGGAGGAACACCAGUGGCGAAGGCGACUUUCUGGACGAUAACUGACGUUGAGGCACGAAGGUGUGGGGAGCAAACAGGAUUAGAUACCCUGGUAGUC